UACAGAGGGUGCGAGCGUUAAUCGGAAUUACUGGGCGUAAAGGGCUCGUAGGCGGCCAACUAAGUCAGACGUGAAAUCCCUCAGCUUAACUGGGGAACUGCGUCUGAUACUGGAUGGCUUGAGAUUGGGAGAGGGAUGCGGAAUUCCAGGUGUAGCGGUGAAAUGCGUAGAUAUCCGAAAGAACACCGGUGGCGAAGGCGGCGACCUGGGCCUGAACUGACGCUGAGGAGCGAAAGCUAGGGGAGCAAACAGG
rnacentral:rRNA from 1 species